CUCAGCUCACUGCAACUUCUGACUCCUGGGUCCAAGCAAUUGUCCUGCCUCAGUCUCCCAAGUAGCUGGGAUUAUAGACACGUGCCACUAUGCCCAGCUAAGUUUUGUAUUUUUAGUUGAGAUAGAGUUUUGUCAUGUUGGCCAGGCUGGUUUCGAACCCCUGGGCUGAAGUGAUCCACCUGCCUUGGCCUCCCAAAGUGCUGGGAUUACAUGUGUGAGCCACCGCACCUAGCCCUAAUUUUUUUUUUUUUUUUUUUUUUUUUUGUAGAGAUGAGGUCUCGCUAAUUUGCCCAGGCUGGUCCUGAACUCCUGGGUUCAACUAAUUCUCCUGCCUCAGCCUCUCAAAGUGCUGGGAUUACAGGCAUGAGACACCACGCCAGGCUGGUGGUGAGUUUUAAAAUUUUCCAGUGCCUCAGUGUUUCUACCUGUAGAAUGCCAAAAAGUAGAUGGCAUCUUUGCGAGGAUGAAGCCGACUAGCUUUUUUUAAUUUUUUUUUGAGACAGAAUUUCUCUCUUGUCACCCAGGCUGGAGUGCAAUGGUGUGAUCUUGGCUCACUGCAACCUCUGCCUCCUGGAUUCAAGUGAUUCUCCUCUCUCAGCCUCCAAGUAGCUGGGAUUACAAAGCCAGCUAGCUUUAAGAUACAGUGUUGGGCAUCACAUUUUGGCACGGAGCAGGCACUCUUUUCUUUGCCCUCAGGUGGGACUUAGCCACCACAAGCCUUCCCUGGUGUGUGCAGUGGGUGAUGAAUGCUUGCCUGCUCAGCACCCACUACAUGGUGGGCUGGGUCACAUUACUCUGACUCCCCCUUGAGCUUCAGUCCGUGCCUGGUUCAAGAUGUAUUGACUCAACUCGAGGAUCCAGAGGUGGGAUGUGGCUCUGGCCUGGCCAGAGGACCGAAGAUGCUGCAUGCCAUGGCUACAGCAACUGGUUCAGCUUUGGGCUCAUGUCCUAGUCAGAGCCAAUGAGAUGUAAUCUUGGGAUAUCUGCUGGGCUGUUGGGAAGGGGACAGGCUGCCCUGCUCAUCCCCAUUCCUGAUGCUGAGGGAUCUGAGAAAAUCACUUGUAAAAUUCGGGGGUGUUUGGAAGAUGGGGAGACUGAUGUCUCCUUCUCUCUACAGACAUCUGAUCAGCUACAGAGCUUGACUGACCUACCCAGAGGCAGAAUGAUAUGGUGGUUAAAAGUGUGCCCUGGGCCGAGAUCUUGCCACUGCACUCCAGCCUGGGUGACAGAGUGAGACUCCAUCUCAAAAGAAAAAAAAAAGUGUGCUCUGGGCUGGUCGCAGGAGUUUAUGACUGUAAUCCCAGCAGUUUGGGAGGCUGAGGCAGGAGGAUCGCUUGAAGUCAGGAGUUUGAGAUCAGACCCUAUCUCUAGAAAAAUGUUUUAAAAAUUAGCUGGGUUGGUGGUGAAUGCCUGUAGUCCCAGCUACUCAGGAGGCUGAGGCGGGAAGAUUGCUGGAGCCCGGGAGUUCAAGGCUGCAGUGAGCCAUGAUCAGGCCACUGCACUCCAGUUUGAGGGACAGAGAGAGACCCCAUCUCCCUAAAGCACAAAAAAGUGUGCUCUGGUGCCACACUGCCUGGUUAGAUCCUUUGUCCACCACUUAGAUGCAUGUUAUAUAAAUGCUCUCCUCAGUUUCCUCAUCUGUAACUUGGGGAUGAUAAUGCUGCCCCAUUAAGUGGUUAUGGGGACUAAAUUCAUGUGGGCGCAUUGGUAAGUAUUCAACAAGCUUGAUUUUUUCCUGGAGAGGGAGAAAGAGCAUACAGUGAAGUGGCAUGCUCAGGUGCAUUGGGGCAAGGAUUAUUUCCUCUGGCUUCUGCCUCCUGGGAGGUACUAAGGAUGGAUCUGAAAUGUGUCUGCAGACCCCAGAGUUGGGGACUGCAGAGGGAAAUUGAGAUCAGGGACCCCAGUCUGGCAGAAAUGGGUGCAGCAUGGGGCAUUGGGUUCCUUCCAUCAGAGGCAUGGGGUGUGUUGCAGACAGUCAUGAGAUGUGGCUGAAUCUUGCAAGGGAGCUGCAGUCCUAGGGUUGCUGCUUGAGACAAUGACCGCUGUCAGUGGAACCUGGUGACCUUCACCCUUCUCUGUCAGGCUGCAGACAGCAAGAGAUGGCAGGAGGUUACACCCAACAGGAAAAGGGCCAUUGCUAUCCCACAGGUUGCCAUAGGAGGAGAUGACAUCUCUUCCCUCUCCUCCUCCAGCAGUGUCAGCUGGGGAAGAGGUGGGUGGGGGUGCACAAAAGAGUAGACCACAGACCAUGCUCCUUCUCCUCCAGUCUGCUGGGGCCCCAAGAGAGUCUGCAGCCCUUGGCCAGGGACCGGCUGAUACAGGAGAACAAAAGAUCUCAGUCUGGGAUAACAUGGUGGUGCAGCUGAUCCUCUGGAACUCCCUGUGAGAUCAGACUGGAGCCAGUCUCCAGCUGAGACCACAUCUCACUUAGCUCCUUCCCUGCCAUAUCCUGUUUUCCUUACUCCUAUCUACUGAGAGUCCUGAAUGAAUUACAUGCACUCAAUCCCUGCCUCAGGCUCUGCUUUUAGGGAACUUGACCUAAGACAGAUAUCUUAGUACUAAAUACUUUGCAAGGCCUCAGAAGCUCUGCUAUCCACAGGCAGGUGAGAUAUUACCUUCCCUACCACCUGGCAGUCAUAGUCUAUGAUGCGAUUCAGCUUUGUGGAAGUGCUUCUGUAAAGAACUUCCCCCAACUUAAGAUGAUCUUAAUUUGCUUACUUGUUUACUGUCCAUUUAGCUGCUGUAAAAUGUGAGCUCCAAAUCAGUGGUCAUGUCUGGUUAGUUACCCAUUUCCUGGGACCUAGAACGGGCCUAGCUCAGAGCAUGUGCUCACUAUUGAUGGAAUGCAUGUUGAAAGAACGCAUGAAUCUCAUCUCCUUUUGUGGGUGAAAAACUCAUCCUAUUCUCACUCCUGAUUAACUUUCCUUCUUUUUUUUUUUUUUUUUUUUUUUCAAAACGGAGCCAUGAUCUGUCACCCAGGCUGGAGUGCAAUGGUGUGAUCUCAUCUCGCUGCAACCUCUGCCUUCUGGAUUAAAGCAAUUCUCCUGCCUCAGCCUCCCGGGUAUCUGGGAUUACAGUUGCACGCCACCACACCUGGCUAAUUUUUUGUAUUUUUAAUAGAGACAGGGUUUCACCAUGUUGGCCAGGCUUGUCUUGAACUCCUGACGUCGUGAUCUGCCUGCUUUGGCCUCCCAAAGUCCUGGGAUUACAGGCAUGAGCCACCGUACCCAGCCACUCUUGAUUAACUUAAUGGAAAUAUUUACAGAGAUUCUUUCUCUUCUGGGUUCUAGCGUCUUAUCUGUAACCUCUGCAGGUGCAGGAAUGAGAGGCAGCAGCCGGGGAAGCCAGGGUCUCCGGAAGUCCUUGUCUCUGGGCGGUGAUCCAGAGAGAGAGAGAGAACACGAUUGUCUCAGCAAUGGGUCUUCUUCUGAGUCUUGAAGGAGCACUUCCAGAGCCUCUCAGUGUUAAACAUCGUGUUGUGAAUGACUCCGUGAGCUCUGACCCAGUGACCUUGGGGAUAAAGGAGGGGAGGUACGGAUAAGCUCUUCGAAUGGAUGUUGCCGGGGUGUCAGUGUUCUUUGAGGGCACAGACUAUGUGUCACUAAAGAAAGAGCCCAGUGCCUUUUCUCAUUGCUCAAGAGAUUGAAGGGGUAGUAAGAAAAGAUGUUAAGUUAUAAACACGUUUCAGUUUUGGUACCAGUUGAACCAAUUUACGUUUUGAAGAGGAAAGAGUCUUGCCUACAAUGUCAGCCCCCGGGUUUUCCUUCUGCUUAUGGAAUCCAGGCAAUGGGCAAAGAGAAAAAGAAAACUAAGGAAUCAGCCAGGUGCAGUGGCUCAUGCUUGUGAUCUUGGCACUUUGGGAAGCUGAGGCAGGUGGACUUCUUGAGUGCAGCAGUUCAAGACCAGCCUGGCCAACAUAGUGAGACCCCGUUUCUACAAAAAAUACAAAAAGUUGCUGAGCAUGGUGACAUGCACCUGUAGUCCCAGUUACUUGGGAGGCUGAGGUGGGAGAACUACUUCAUCCCAGGAGGCUGAGGCUGCAGCGAGCCAUGAUCGUGCCACUAUACUCCUGCCU
rnacentral:lncRNA from 1 species